UCCUCGGAGGGCAGGUACAUGC
rnacentral:miRNA from 1 species